CAAAAGCAGCUCCCCAAAAUAUCAACUUGCAUCUCCAUUUUAUGAUAAACUUGACCAUUUAGAGCCUAAUUAAUUUGAAAAAAAAAAGAAAGUUGAUUGAAAAAUUAAAUUUGAGGGUUGGUUGGAAGUUUUAAAAUUAAUUUUGAGCUUCAUAAAAUGGCUAUAAAUGCCACACCCAUUACCAAUCAAAACCAAACCAAAAGGACAAAGAAGAGAGAGCAAGUAAUUUUCAUAGCAAACAAGGUUUCAAGAUGGAGUUCCCACAUGGAAAAAUGCAAUGGCCAGAACUUGUCGCUACCAAAUUCUCUGUAGCUGCUUCGAUCAUAGAAAAAGAGAAUCCUAAUGUGAAAGCAGAAAAGAUCCUAGCAGGGAGUCCAAGAAUUUUAAAUAUAAACCCGGGACGAGUUUGGGUGGAUGUGAAUAUUGAAGAUACGGUGGUUGAAAUUCCUAAAGUCGGUUAGAGAAUUGCAUCACUUUAUAUGUACAAGUUAUAUGUUUGUAUAAUGUAUAUGCAUACAUAUAAUUGCACUUAAAUUAAUAAUAAGGUAGUAUAUCUACCAACUAUUUAAAUCAA